rnacentral:lncRNA from 1 species
CGACUGCGCGAUCCAGUCUSGCGCCUUCCCUGAACUCCUCAGGGCGGGUUUGAUCCUCACCACAGCCCUGCGUGCCUCCCGAAUCGACUUUCUGGAUGAGGCAACGAGGUUCUGGCUUCUCAACUUGAGUGCAAAGCCCUCGGUGCCCAGGCAAGGAGGAGACAGGAAGAUGGUAGGGAAAGCUGGGAGCAGAGCAGGGAGUGGAGGUCUUUGGAGAUGCUGAUGAGAUGACACAAUUUAUGCAACUUUUCUAUUUCUUGAAUCUCUCUAUGAACCCUGAGAGGGUUGA